rnacentral:rRNA from 1 species
GACGAAGGGGGCUAGCGUUGUCCGGAAUCAUUGGGCGUAAAGAGCGUGUAGGCGGCUCGAUAAGUCCGCUGUGAAAGUCCAGGGCUCAACCCUGGAAGGCCGGUGGAAACUGUCGGGCUAGAGUCCGGAAGAGGCGAGUGGAAUUCCCGGUGUAGCGGUGAAAUGCGCAGAUAUCGGGAGGAACACCAAUGGCGAAGGCAGCUCGCUGGGACGGUACUGACGCUGAGACGCGAAAGCGUGGGGAGCAAACAGG